CACAAACCCAAUUCCGUAAUUUCGCAUAAAAAGCGUUCCAUGAACACGCGUAGUAACUUAGAUCUAUGAAUGUGGUGGUUUUUAAAACACUUAUUCAACUUAUAUAUAUAUAUUUAUUAACUAAAUUUCAUAAAAAAAUAAACAAAUAAAAAAUUAAGGUUUUAAUUACCAGAUAUCCACGAAACAACGAUUGAAUUUUGACGGCAGCUAAGGUUUCAGUUUCACGACCACCACCGACAAACCCUUGGCUAGUCAACUUAACAACAGCUGCGGCUGCUUGGGCGGCGGCAACGGCGGCGUCAGCGGCAGCGGCGGUGGCAGCAGCGACGGCGAUUGCGUGCCUGCUCUGCUCCUCUUCUGACUGAAUUGUGUACAUUGGCGGAGAAAGGGAGGGGUCUCGACGAGACCGGCCGAUGCACGACGGAGUGGUGUCUUUCCGGUGACCGGAAUCUUUUGUAUUUUUUAUACCGAAAAGGCCCUUGAGCCACCGGGUUGCUCUGCCCAUUGUUCUUCUUCUUCUUCCAGAAUCUGGGAACAUACAGUGAGAGAGAUCUUUAAAAAGGAGCAGGAACCAUUUUGGAUUUUGGAUACUGGAAACGGACAAGUGAAUAUAUUUUAAAAAUGAUUUAAGGGAGAGAGAAAAUUUAUGCUAUAUUUGUUGCAUAAAUUUGUCGAUAUAAAUAUAAUUGCUACUUUUUUGUUAAAUGGGUAUAAAGAACUACCAAACAUUAACUAUUAAUGAUUGAUGAAUACUAUAUUUUCUUUUGUCAUUAGAACUUGUUAUCAAAAAGUGAAAUCAGAAGGAGUUCAAGAGGGACCGUUGACUCUUCGGUUAUCAAAUUUGGGCCGUUUGUUUAGCUCUUAA
rnacentral:lncRNA from 1 species